ensembl:rRNA 5S_rRNA 5S ribosomal RNA
GAUUAUGGCCAUACCAGCCGAAGAACGCCCGGUCUCGUCUGAUCUCGGAAGCUGAGAGGGCUUGGGCCUGGUUAGUACAUGGAUUGGAGACUGCCUGGGAAUACAAGGUUCUGUAAGCU